rnacentral:rRNA from 1 species
UAGUGGCGAACGGGUGAGUAACACGUGAAUAACCUGCCCUGGAGUGGGGGACAACAGUUGGAAACGACUGCUAAUACCGCAUAAGCCCACAGAGCCGCAUGGCUCAGGGGGAAAAGGAGCAAUUCGCUUCAGGAUGGAUUCGCGUCCAAUUAGCUGGAUGGUGAGGUAACGGCCCACCAUGGCGACGAUUGGUAGCCGGACUGAGAGGUUGAUCGGCCACAUUGGGACUGAGACACGGCCCAGACUCCUACGGGAGGCAGCAGUGGGGAAUAUUGCACAAUGGGGGAAACCCUGAUGCAGCGACGCCGCGUGGAGGAAGAAGGUCUUCGGAUUGUAAACUCCUGUCGUUGGGGACGAUAAUGACGGUACCCAACAAGAAAGCCACGGCUAACUACGUGCCAGCAGCCGCGGUAAAACGUAGGUGGCAAGCGUUGUCCGGAAUUACUGGGUGUAAAGGGAGCGCAGGCGGAAGGACAAGUUGGAAGUGAAACCCACGGGCUCAACCCGUGAACUGCUUUCAAAACUGUUUUUCUUGAGUGGUGUAGAGGUAGGCGGAAUUCCCGGUGUAGCGGUGGAAUGCGUAGAUAUCGGGAGGAACACCAGUGGCGAAGGCGGCCUACUGGGCACUAACUGACGCUGAGGCUCGAAAGCAUGGGUAGCAAACAGGAUUAGAUACCCUGGUAGUCCAUGCCGUAAACGAUGAUUACUAGGUGUGGGAGGAUUGACCCCUUCCGUGCCGCAGUUAACACAAUAAGUAAUCCACCUGGGGAGUACGACCGCAAGGUUGAAACUCAAAGGAAUUUGACGGGGGCCCGCACAAAGCAGUGGAAUAUGUGGUUUUAAUUCGAAGCAAC